rnacentral:rRNA from 1 species
GUGGGGAAUAUUGCACAAUGGGCGCAAGCCUGAUGCAGCAACGCCGCGUGAGUGAUGAAGGUCUUCGGAUUGUAAAACUCUGUUCUUGGGGAAGAAUAAAUGACGGUACCCAAGGAGAAAGUCCCGGCUAACUACGUGCCAGCAGCCGCGGUAAUACGUAGGGGACAAGCGUUAUCCGGAAUCACUGGGCGUAAAGGGUGCGUAGGCGGUUUAACAAGUCAGAAGUGAAAGGCAUUGGCUCAACCAAUGUAAGCUUUUGAAACUGUUAGACUUGAGUGCAGGAGAGGAAAGUGGAAUUCCUAGUGUAGCGGUGAAAUGCGUAGAUAUUAGGAGGAACACCAGUGGCGAAGGCGACUUUCUGGACUGUAACUGACGCUGAGGCACGAAAGCGUGGGGAGCGAACAGGAUUAGAUACCCUAGUAGUCC